GCCGUUUUAUAUGAAACGAAUAAAUCAGCAUAAAUUCCCUUGCCUUUUCACUUUCACCGGCCGCCCAUAAUUUCUGCUUUCCUGCAGCUUUUCUAUCAUGUCAUCUCACGCGGCUUUUCAAUCAUGUCAUCUCACUAUUGACGUUUGUGCAAGAGGCUAAUAUUUUUUUUUCUCCCCAUUUCACUUCGUUCUUGCUGCCUCUUUCUUGUUCAUCUGUUUUUUCUCCCCAUUUCACUUUUCUCUCUAGAAAAUGUUAUUGGUGAUGAUCUUCAAAAUGCUAAUGGAAGAUUUUCCCGGAAAGUUAGCUUUCUCUUUCUUUGAUUACAUAUAUGUUCCUGCCAUCCUUUAUAAUAAUUUUCGGAAAUGCUAGAGAAAGCAAUUUUCUUUUCGCAAGAUGAGUUAUAGGUAUGUAUGCUCUUAUGGUAGGAUGUUCGGCUGAUGAGUUCUUCCUUCCGCCUCCGUCAACCCUCUCACUAUGUCUCCUGCCUCCCGUCCAAAUCAGGGUCUUCAAACUUGGUUUUGCAGAAGUUUCAAUCAGCUCAAGCACAUUCACAAGUAUGUCAGUGAUCUGUAUCUGCUCAAAACCCAAUUAGAUAGAAAUAUGUGUUUUUGCUUCAUUAGCUCAUUUUGCCUUCUGUUAGACUUUUGCUGCUGAUAUGCUUGGAAAUGCUAAUAGAGACCACUUCGUGCUUACUCGGGCAUGAUGACCUAUGCGUAUAUUUCACUCCCUUUUUAUUGAUACUAUCUGUUAUAUGUAUAUAUUUGGAUAUGUAAUGCUAUCUGAAAUAUGUAGCUUGAGUUCCUAUGUAGCUGAGUUAGUUUGGUUGCUGAUGUGCAUGUCUUUGACAACAUAUUGGUGGAACUCUUUAGAAGUUAGAUUAAAAUGCUGAAUUUUUAAUUUAUCUUGUAGUAAUAUGUUUCUUAUUCUUUUAUAAAUCAUUUUGCCAUUGGCAAUUGUACUUGUAUUAGUCAGUAAUGUUUCUUUCUUUACACUUGUUAUAUGGAGUCAUGUAAUGUGAUCUAUAUUGGGCAUUAAGUACCGCGUGUGACGCGGUGUGAUUCCCCU